rnacentral:rRNA from 1 species
GCGAAGGCGGGUCUCUGGGCCGAUACUGACGCUGAGGAGCGAAAGCGUGGGGAGCGAACAGGAUUAGAUACCCUGGUAGUCCACGCCCUAAACGAUGUCGACUGGUUGUUGGGGAAGGAAACUUCCUUAGUAACGAAGCUAACGCGUGAAGUCGACCGCCUGGGGAGUACGGCCGCAAGGUUAAAACUCAAAGGAAUUGACGGGGACCCGCACAAGCGGUGGAUUAUGUGGAUUAAUUCGAUGCAACGCGAAAAACCUUACCUACCCUUGACAUGUCCGGAACCCUGCCGAGAGGUGGGGGUGCCCGAAAGGGAGCCGGAACACAGGUGCUGCAUGGCUGUCGUCAGCUCGUGUCGUGAGAUGUUGGGUUAAGUCCCGCAACGAGCGCAACCCUUGCCAUUAGUUGCCACACUUCGGGUGGGCACUUUAAUGGGACUGCCGGUGACAAACCGGAGGAAGGUGGGGAUGACGUCAAGUCCUCAUGGCCCUUAUGGGUAGGGCUUCACACGUAAUACAAUGGCGCAUACAGAGGGCUGCGAAGCGGCGACGCGGAGCCAAUCCCAGAAAGUGCGUCGUAGUCCGGAUUGUUCUCUGCAACUCGAGAGCAUGAAGUCGAAAUCGCUAGUAAUCGCGGAUCAGCAUGUCGCGGUGAAUACGUUCCCGGGUCU